AGAGUUUGAUCAUGGCUCAGAUUGAACGCUGGCGGCAGGCCUAACACAUGCAAGUCGAGCGGUAGCACAAGAGAGCUUGCUCUCUGGGUGACGAGCGGCGGACGGGUGAGUAAUGUCUGGGAAACUGCCUGAUGGAGGGGGAUAACUACUGGAAACGGUAGCUAAUACCGCAUAACGUCUUCGGACCAAAGUGGGGGACCUUCGGGCCUCACGCCAUCAGAUGUGCCCAGAUGGGAUUAGCUAGUAGGUGGGGUAAUGGCUCACCUAGGCGACGAUCCCUAGCUGGUCUGAGAGGAUGACCAGCCACACUGGAACUGAGACACGGUCCAGACUCCUACGGGAGGCAGCAGUGGGGAAUAUUGCACAAUGGGCGCAAGCCUGAUGCAGCUAUGCCGCGUGUGUGAAGAAGGCCUUCGGGUUGUAAAGCACUUUCAGCGAGGAGGAAGGGUAGUGUGUUAAUAGCACAUUGCAUUGACGUUACUCGCAGAAGAAGCACCGGCUAACUCCGUGCCAGCAGCCGCGGUAAUACGGAGGGUGCAAGCGUUAAUCGGAAUUACUGGGCGUAAAGCGCACGCAGGCGGUUUGUUAAGUCAGAUGUGAAAUCCCCGCGCUUAACGUGGGAACUGCAUUUGAAACUGGCAAGCUAGAGUCUUGUAGAGGGGGGUAGAAUUCCAGGUGUAGCGGUGAAAUGCGUAGAGAUCUGGAGGAAUACCGGUGGCGAAGGCGGCCCCCUGGACAAAGACUGACGCUCAGGUGCGAAAGCGUGGGGAGCAAACAGGAUUAGAUACCCCGGUAGU
rnacentral:rRNA from 1 species